UACGUAGGUGACCAGCGUUGUCCGGAUUUACUGGGCGUAAAGAGCGCGCAGGCGGUCGUUCAAGUCGAGUGUGAAAGCCCCCGGCUCAACUGGGGAGGGUCAUUCGAUACUGAUCGACUCGAAGGCAGGAGAGGGAAGUGGAAUUCCCGGUGUAGUGGUGAAAUGCGUAGAUAUCGGGAGGAACACCAGUGGCGAAGGCGGCUUCCUGGCCUGUUCUUGACGCUGAGGCGCGAAAGCUAGGGGAGCAAACGGG
rnacentral:rRNA from 1 species